rnacentral:rRNA from 1 species
UAGGGAAUCUUCCACAAUGGACGCAAGUCUGAUGGAGCAACGCCGCGUGAGUGAAGAAGGUUUUCGGACCGUAAAGCUCUGUUGUUGGUGAAGAAGGAUAGAGGUAGUAACUGGCCUUUAUUUGACGGUAAUCAACCAGAAAGUCACGGCUAACUACGUGCCAGCAGCCGCGGUAAUCGUAGGUGGCAAGCGUUGUCCGGAUUUAUUGGGCGUAAAGCGAGCGCAGGCGGAAGAAUAAGUCUGAUGUGAAAGCCCUCGGCUUAACCGAGGAAUUGCAUCGGAAACUGUUUUCUUGAGUGCAGAAGAGGAGAGUAGAACUCCAUGUGUAGCGGUGGAAUGCGUAGAUAUAUGGAAGAAUACCAGUGGCGAAGGCGGCUCUCUGGUCUGCAACUGACGCUGAGGCUCGAAAGCAUGGUAGCGAACAGGAUUAGAUACCCUGGUAGUCCAUGCCGUAAACGAUGAGUGCUAAGUGUUGGGAGGCUUCCGCCUCUCAGUGCUGCAGCUAACGCAUUAAGCACUCCGCCUGGGGGAGUACGACCGCAA